rfam:Mesocricetus auratus contig175652, whole genome shotgun sequence.
GGGGUGAGGGAAAUCUGUUUGUGACAUCUGCCAUCCCAUUUCCACCAGGGUUCAUUUGGGUGAUCUGGCAGGCUAGCUCUGUUUCCCACUUCUUCUCUCAUGGUUCCAUGUGCAUCCUUUCAAAGCACUACAUGAAAUAAGAUGACCUUGCCAGUUCAAGGAGGGUGAUUCUUUGGUCCAGCGUAAAUGAGUAACUGUGAUCCUCUGUCAGAGCCUCCCCCGAAUAAGCAGAACCAGGUUACAAAGGUCAAGCCCUACCUCCUCCUAGCAAGGGACUUUGUCCUGCUACAGCAG